CAUUGCUGACCUAAGCAAUCAACACUCCCCACUCUCUGGCCCUCUAACCACCAAAGUAGCCUUAAAAACCCCAAUCCUGGAAUAUUCUGGGAGACUGAUUUGAGUAAUAAUUAAACUCUGGUCUCCUGUGCGGCCAGCUCUAUGUGAAUUAAACUCUUUCUCCAUUGCUAUUCUCCUGUCUUGAUAAAUCAGCUGUAUUGGGGCAAUGGGCAGAAUGAACCCAUUCAGUGGUUAUAUAAGUGCUUAGUUAAGAUGGAAAAGGCACUAAAUUUGUGGGUGGAAGAAAUGAACAGAAUUAUGUUCCAAUUAACAGCUGUCAGGUUCAGUACUAUUCAUGGUUCCAGGCAUCCACUGGAGGUCUUGCAACAUAUCCUUCAUGGAUAAGGAGAAACUACUGUAGUCUUUUAAUAAAUAGUGCUGGAAUAAUUGAAUAUCCCCCAUAUGCAAGAGAAAAAGUUGGACUCCUAUCUCACACCAUAUGCAAAAAUUAAUUCAAAAUGGAUCAAAAACUUAAAUGAAUGAGCUCAAACUAUAAAACUUUUAGAAGAAAACAUAGACAUAAAUCUUCAUGACCCUGGGUUAGGCAAAGACACCACACAAGUAACAAAAGAAAAAAAUACAUAAAUUGGACUUCAUCAAAAUUAAAACUUUUGACCGGGCACAGUGGC
rnacentral:lncRNA from 10 species